ACUUAAAUAAUUUAAAUAAAAUAUUAAUUUGUGGUAUUAAAAAUAUGAUAAUAUAUCAUUUUAAGUU